rnacentral:rRNA from 1 species
CACGUAGGGGGCAAGCGUUGUCCGGAUUCAUUGGGCGUAAAGAGCUCGUAGGCGGUCUGUCGCGUCGGUCGUGAAAACUUGGGGCUUAACCCUGAGCUUGCGGUCGAUACGGGCAUGACUGGAGUUCGGCAGGGGAGACUGGAAUUCCUGGUGUAGCAGUGAAAUGCGCAGAUAUCAGGAGGAACACCGGUGGCGAAGGCGGGUCUCUGGGCCGAUACUGACGCUGAGGAGCGAAAGCGUGGGGAGCGAACAGG